GCUCAGGACUAGGGGUUGUAAAGUGAAAGUGGGGUUACCGAAUAUUUGUUUGCACGUUCUAAAGCAAAGAAAACACGGUUUCAGAGAUAUUGGAGCCUAUUGCUAUGAAUGAUUUGGUGAUGAUUUGAUGGUAGCUACUGUUAAAAGAAUGACCACUCAAUACCAAGCUUUCAAAACGUCAAGAAGAAUCUGUGUUGAAACGAUGCUUCUUUGUGUAAUAGUGUACCAGUGCAGGUGGUGUGAGGGGGUGGUAGAGAGACGGGCCACAGUCAGAGUGAAAGUGGGAGACAGCAUCUCUUUUCCUGUCUCGCCUGAAUCCAACCAAAGCUACAAUGUUGACCUAAUUUUCAAGACAAUUAGAAUAGUUUUCUGGAGUCCUCAAACAUUAUUUCAUGUCCAUAAACAAUAUAAGGGAAGGAUCUGUCACGUUUCAGGUCUGUCUCACCAUGUUGUAUGUUGAUUUAUGUUUAUUCAUGUUGUCUUAGUCACGUAGUGUCUUAUCAUGUAUUAUGUUGUCUAGGUUCGUCAUGUUGUUUAGUUAUGUUUCGUUACGAUUUAUUUUCUUGUCAUGUUUAGUUAUGUCUCGUUACGAUUUAUUUUCUUGUCAUGUCUAGUUAUGUUAUCGUACGAUUUUAUUACCUGGUUAUGUUGAGUGAUUAUCGUCUUAGUUUCGCUUUGUGUUAUGUUUCGAUGCAUGUUUAUUGUUACGUUAACUGGUCGUUGUUAUGCAUACACUUUUACAUGUUUUUCCACAAACCUUGCGUUCCGCCUUUUCUCUCUCUCGUUCUGUCCUUCACUCCCCUAAUGUUUCUAUUUGUCUAUUUACUAAAACUACUAACGCUAGAUCAGGAUUGGGUAGAAACUAACAAGACUAAUCAUGUGUUCAUGUUACCUUACGUUUCUCGUGCAUGUCAUUUACUAAUUUACUAAUGCUAGGGCAGGAUAGGUUUAUUACUAACGAUUACUAAUCUCCUUGUUAAACUUGUCAUCCAUCGCACCUGUUUUCCAUUUCCUUGCUACGCUCUAACUAAUUGUCUACACCUGUCUACACCUGCAUUUAUAGCCCAGUCGCGCUACUGUUCACUGCGAAAUUGUCUGCCUCUGUUUUCCACGCAACUCUUGAGCAUUAUUUACUGUUUGAUUACACGUUACGAUCCACGCCUGUUUACUGACCAUCGAUUAUUGAUUUCUGUUUUGUGACCUUCGUUUGUUUAUUGACUACGUCCCCGCCUACCGUUUUUGUACUUUUACCCCGCUGAUUGUUUCAUGGUUUCGACUCCCGCUUCGCCCACGACUACGCCUCUGCCUGCCGUCCGCCUGUUCAUCUGCCCCGCUGACAGCUCUCCUGCUACCGGACCUCCCUGCACGCCUACCGACUACGAGAUUGCCUCUUCCCUCGGCACCGUGCUUUUUGUUUGUUUUGUAUUUGUUUGGCUGGAUCUUCGUGUAUGGACUUUGCUUGUAUUGACUACGCUCCUGGGACUCGUCCCGAAUAAAGCCCUAACGGGACUUUAUUUUA